UUUUAUUUGAGAGUUUGAUCCUGGCUCAGGAUGAACGCUGGCGGCGUGCCUAACACAUGCAAGUUGAGCGAUUUACUUCGGUAAAGAGCGGCGGACGGGUGAGUAACGCGUGGGUAACCUACCCUGUACACACGGAUAACAUACCGAAAGGUAUGCUAAUACGGGAUAAUAUAUUUGAGAGGCAUCUCUUAAAUAUCAA
rnacentral:rRNA from 1 species